rnacentral:rRNA from 1 species
GACGAACCGUGCGAACGUUGUUCGGAAUCACUGGGCUUAAAGGGCGCGUAGGCGGGCUCACAAGUCAGGGGUGAAAUCCCACGGCUCAACCGUGGAAGUGCCUUUGAUACUGUGGGUCUUGAGGGAGGUAGGGGCGUGCGGAACUUCCGGUGGAGCGGUGAAAUGCGUAGAUAUCGGAAGGAACACCGGUGGCGAAAAGCGGCGCGCUGGACCUCUUCUGACGCUGAGGCGCGAAAGCCAUGGGAGCAAAGCGGG